rnacentral:rRNA from 1 species
AUUGAACGCUAGCGGCAUGCCUUACACAUGCAAGUCGAACGAGUGGCGGACGGGUGAGUAAUAUAUUGGAAUCUGCCCAGUAGCGGGGGAUAACUACUGGAAACAGUGGCUAAUACCGCAUACUAUCGGAUCAGCCCAUAUCGGAUUAGCUAGUAGGUGGGGUAAAGGCUCACCUAGGCAACGAUCGGUAGCUGGUUUGAGAGGAUGACCAGCCACACUGGGACUGAGACACGGCCCAGAAUCAUACGGGAGGCAGCAGUGGGGAAUAUUGGACAAUGGGGGAAAGCCUGAUCCAGCCAUCCCGCGUGUAUGAGAAGGCCUUAGGGUUGUAAAGUACUUUUAGCAGGGAGGCGGUAACUGCAGAAGAAGCACCGGCUAACUACGUGCCAGCAGCCGCGGUAAUAC